rnacentral:lncRNA from 1 species
UUGUAAAGCUUACUCUGUUAUGAACACAUAGUUAAGGUCAGAUUUACAAAGGAUUUUCUUGUGCUUCCGUAACGUUCAGUGUAGUCAGCAGUCCUGGAGCUUCUGUUUCUCAUCAUGAUGAUGGUGCUCAGUGAAUAGCUCUCCAUGUGCCAGGCCCAGAUUAUCUUUCCUCCCCAAACAGAUCAUUUUUUAAGUUUCAUGACUGUAGAUAAUCACUUCUGCAGCCCCAGUGUUCAGAUGCAGCACUGCCUUUAUCCAACUGCUCUUUAUCCAAGAGUGCUGAAAAAUACCAUUCCAUCCAGACUUCCUAUGCUAUAAAAACAGAUUUUGUUUGUGUUCAUCCAUCAUAGACUUGGCCAGGCCCCGUGGAUUAGGAUCAGGCUUUAGAAUCAGAUGCAUGUUGGGUGACCUGAAAACUGCCUUGCUUCCAGAAGCCCACAGAGCCAUUUUUCCAGGCCUGCAGUUGGUGAGAAAGCACAGUUCUCUACGAUUCUGAGAGCAGAUCUGACAUGUGCUGAGAGGUCAGGGAGCCCUGCCUUUCCUCUGGGGACUGCAGCAUGGAGAAACGGGGAUAGAGGUCUCACUCAUCCCACAUGUGUGCUUUGGAUUAGAAUCUAUAGCUUGAGAUUUUGAUGAGCUUAUGUGAGUUUUAAUGAAAUUUAACAUCCAAAUGACUCUCCCUUGCAGUUCAAACAAUAGACAAAGUUGCUCACAAAUGCAGAAAACAUUUUAUCUACUUGCAUUGGUAGGUGGGUUCUUUACCACUAGUGCCACCUGGGAAGCCCUUUAUCUUCUUACCAAGUCUCAGAACAUAAUGUGAUGAUAAUUUAAGCCUAUAUUAUAGAAGAAAUCUUUUCCAUGUUCAUUAUGCCUUGAUAUCUAUAAAACCUUGAUUUAUAUUCAACGUUCCCGGCCAUUGGAGCUUUGUUACAUUUUUGUGGAGAGCUAAUAUCCAUUCAUUUUGUUUAUUUGAGAGUUUUUAUUUCCUUUGCUUGAAAACCCAGUGGAAGAAAAACAUGCAUUCUCUUGGUUUAUAUUUAUUCCUAUAUUUCAUCAGUUUUCAACGUAUGGCUAAUUGACAGCAUGUGAGUUUGCAUAAUGAACUUUGAGGGUCUGAGAAAAUGCAGUUAUCAUUCUUGCAAUUCAAACAACAGGAGUAAGCAUUUUACUCCAUGUAUUAGUUGCUAAGUUCCAANNNNNNNNNNNNNNNNNNNNNNNNNNCACAUACAAGGAAGUUCUUCAAAUUAGGUGCCUUACACUUCUGUGUAUAUAUUAAAACAAUGACUGGUUUUUCUAACUGAAUUUCCUUUAGAAUAAAUUCUGUUGUGUGUAGAAAAUUCACCGACCUAGCCAAUUUUUUAUUUUUAAUUUUUCGUUUCAGAAUUUUUAUUUCUUUUGACUGAAAACACAUUAGUACUGGUGGAAGACUUCUGAAAGUUUUAAGA